rnacentral:rRNA from 1 species
UGAACGCUGGCGGCGUGCCUAAUACAUGCAAGUCGAGCGAACGGACGAGAAGCUUGCUUCUCUGAUGUUAGCGGCGGACGGGUGAGUAACACGUGGAUAACCUACCUAUAAGACUGGGAUAACUUCGGGAAACCGGAGCUAAUACCGGAUAAUAUUUUGAACCGCAUGGUUCAAAAGUGAAAGACGGUCUUGCUGUCACUUAUAGAUGGAUCCGCGCUGCAUUAGCUAGUUAGUAAGGUAACGGCUUACCAAGGCAACGAUGCAUAGCCGACCUGAGAGGGUGAUCGGCCACACUGGAACUGAGACACGGUCCAGACUCCUACGGGAGGCAGCAGUAGGGAAUCUUCCGCAAUGGGCGAAAGCCUGACGGAGCAACGCCGCGUGAGUGAUGAAGGUCUUCGGAUCGUAAAACUCUGUUAUUAGGGAAGAACAUAUGUGUAAGUAACUGUGCACAUCUUGACGGUACCUAAUCAGAAAGCCACGGCUAACUACGUG